rnacentral:rRNA from 1 species
CAGUAGCCGCGGUAAUACGUAGGGUGCGAGCGUUAAUCGGAAUUACUGGGCGUAAAGCGUGCGCAGGCGGUUCGUUAAGACAGAUGUGAAAUCUCCGGGCUUAACCUGGGAACUGCAUUUGUGACUGGCGAGCUAGAGUAUGGCAGAGGGGGGUAGAAUUCCACGUGUAGCAGUGAAAUGCGUAGAGAUGUGGAGGAAUACCGAUGGCGAAGGCAGCCCCCUGGGCCAAUACUGACGCUCAUGCACGAAAGCGUGGGGAGCAAACAGGAUUAGAUACCCGAGUAGUCCCUGUCUCUUAUAC